rnacentral:rRNA from 1 species
GAUGAACGCUAGCUACAGGCUUAACACAUGCAAGUCGAGGGGAAACGGCAUUGAGUGCUUGCACUCUUUGGACGUCGACCGGCGCACGGGUGAGUAACGCGUAUCCAACCUUCCCAUGACUAAGGGAUAACCUGCCGAAAGGCAGACUAAUACCUUAUGGUCUUCACUGACGGCAUCAGAUGUGAAGUAAAGAUUUAUCGGUUAUGGAUGGGGAUGCGUCUGAUUAGCUUGUUGGCGGGGUAACGGCCCACCAAGGCAACGAUCAGUAGGGGUUCUGAGAGGAAGGUCCCCCACAUUGGAACUGAGACACGGUCCAAACUCCUACGGGAGGCAGCAGUGAGGAAUAUUGGUCAAUGGGCGAGAGCCUGAACCAGCCAAGUAGCGUGCAGGAUGACGGCCCUAUGGGUUGUAAACUGCUUUUGUAUGGGGAUAAAGUCAGUCACGUGUGAUUGUUUGCAGGUACCAUACGAAUAAGGACCGGCUAAUUCCGUGCCAGCAGCCGCGGUAAUACGGAAGGUCCGGGCGUUAUCCGGAUUUAUUGGGUUUAAAGGGAGCGUAGGCUGGAGAUUAAGUGUGUUGUGAAAUGUAGACGCUCAACGUCUGACUUGCAGCGCAUACUGGUUUCCUUGAGUACGCACAACGUUGGCGGAAUUCGUCGUGUAGCGGUGAAAUGCUUAGAUAUGACGAAGAACUCCGAUUGCGAAGGCAGCUGACGGGAGCGCAACUGACGCUGAAGCUCGAAGGUGCAGGUAUCGAACAGG